UGGGGAAUAUUGGACAAUUGGCGCAAGCCUGAUCCAGCCAUGCCGCGUGAGUGAUGAAGGCCCUAGGGUUGUAAAGCUCUUUCAACGGUGAAGAUAAUGACGGUAACCGUAGAAGAAGCCCCGGCUAACUUCGUGCCAGCAGCCGCGGUAAUACGAAGGGGGCUAGCGUUGUUCGGAAUUACUGGGCGUAAAGCGCACGUAGGCGGAUAUUUAAGUCAGGGGUGAAAUCCCGGGGCUCAACCUCGGAACUGCCUUUGAUACUGGGUAUCUUGAGUAUGGAAGAGGUAAGUGGAAUUGCGAGUGUAGAGGUGAAAUUCGUAGAUAUUCGCAGGAACACCAGUGGCGAAGGCGGCUUACUGGUCCAUUACUGACGCUGAGGUGCGAAAGCGUGGGGAGCAAACA
rnacentral:rRNA from 1 species